rnacentral:lncRNA from 1 species
UUGUUAAUUUGGGGAUAAAAAUAUGGCGGGUGUUUUCCCCUUCUGAAAAUAACUGACACAUUUGCAUCCUAUUGGCUAUUUAAAUAUAAAAUGACCAAAAAUAGUAUCUAUGAUGAUAGGAGUCCCUAAAUAUUUGCAUAAAUACCCAUCACUCCGUGUCAAAUUGUAACUGAGGCUGCGAAAAGGAAGCACACAAAUCGACGCCAUUUUUCAACAGAUUAAGGUUUCUGAGCUCACGAAAUCCUAGUAUUAUUACUUUUAAUGGUUAGUAGAAAGAUAUUAAUACUAUCCAUAACAUGAUUUAUUGAUCUGAUCGGGUUAUGGCUACAUGUUUGCCUCUUUUCGAUUCUUAAAUCCAGUAAAUUUCCGUAGACCACAUGUAAAUAAACGCCCCUUUUCCAGCGUGAGACUUCAAUUUGAAUAAAACUUCAAUUUUGGCAGGUCAAUGUUAGCAUUUAAAUUUUAAUUAAAGUUUUACAGUUGUGUAAUGCAUAUGUGCUGAUUUGUUUGGUUGUCUCGAAUAGUAAAAAGGUUAAUAUUUUUAUUUUUGAACCCAAAAAGUGUGACAAAAAACACAAAAAAAACACAAAAUAAAAAUAUAGGAAAAAAAUAACUAUCCCCAGGAUAAAGGGGGUUUCCAACUAUAUGUCCCC